ACCCUGUCCCAGGAAGAUGCCUUCCUCACCACAGGUACCAGUGACCUUGUGAUCUGGCAAGUCCCUGCCAAAGGGGAAGACGAAGCAGUGUAUCCAAUACUUCUCCAGGGCCCCCUCCCAUGCUAACUCAGAAUUUCCUUACACAUUAGAUGUAAAGUUGAGAAAGAAGAAAAGAAGUGGAAAGAAGAAUGAUUUGCCUGAGAAGGACACAAGAUAGGUAAUAAUCAUGACCUAGGGAGGUUCUCCGUCUUUGGCGCAGAAAGGGAUGUUCCUCCUGCAUGAGGAGAUCGGGGCAGAAACUGGAGUGGGAAAUAGUCGGGUCCUAGAGAUCAACUCCUGGGAGAGCCAGACAGAAGUAAAUAAGAUCUUUCUGGGAAAGCAAGGUGUUUCAAGUUUUCAAGAAACAAGUGAAGUGUGAGUCCCAUCAGUACAGCCGGGGGCAAGACAUGGUCAGGAGGAACGCUGGUGUGUGCACAGCACACGGGGUCCCCAAGGGGUGUCCCCACAUCUCUAGGGGUCAGGGGAGCCCAACAAAGACAAAGCCUUUAAGAUUGGAAAGCACUGAGGUACUGAGUUAGUCUGGACAAAAGGCAGUAACUAACUUAGAAGAAAAUCUCUUUUCCUGGAAUAGUUUCUAGUGCUAACUGCAGUUCUUUCCGCAAGCAGCAGCAUGAAAAAUACUAUCUUUAGCCAAUUGCUUCUCUUUUCUGUCAAGGACUCUAAUUUUGAUGCCAAAACAGUGGUCUCUGAAGCCAGAAUUACAAAACACUUUCAGGUUAAUAAAGUCUUUUUCCUCUU
rnacentral:lncRNA from 1 species